rnacentral:lncRNA from 1 species
ACCCGUUCACUGUUCCUCUUGCCACUGCUCACUGACCGUUUCACGCUAUUUUCCCAUUUGCAAAGCAGGAAAAUUAGCUCUACCUUAAAUGGGUGCUUCUGGGCACAGAAUGUUUAAUGGGCUCGUUUUCUUGUCUUUUAGGGUUGUUUAAGCCUGAGGUUAAAACAGCAUGGUGAUAAAGUCCACUAAUGUAUGAAAGGGAUUUGAAAGUUAAGUCUUCUAUAGAAGAUAAGCUAACAUGGGUCUCAGUCACGGCUGUGUAUCAGGAAGUAAAACCAGGCGAGCCUUGACCUUUAAAAGGAAGCACUACCCCUUUGUCCAAGUGCCUUAUAACAUGUCUUUAUAACUGGCUGUGUGAGAAUGAAGAAAAGCUGUCCAUCUUCUGAGAAGCCCACUUCUCCACCAAGGUGCUCAGUUUUAGGAGUGGAGAACAGGGGUCACGGAAAAUACAUUGCUCCCCAGCUCCCAGCUCUCUUUGCUUUCUCCCAGGAAGCAGCAUGUGCCAUCCUUCUGUCAGAAAACACCGCAGAGAUGAAGAAAUGAGAACUCCAGAAACCAAAGACCUUGCUCUUUUGUCAAACAGACUUGGUAGAGCAGAGUUGCAAAAUCAGACCUUCGGGGCUUGCGUGUUUCUCCUCUUACUCCCUGGUCAUCCUGAGCAAGAUUUGAAACAAUGGCUCUGGCAGACAGACAAAAGAAGGGAGCUUGGCGCUGUUCCCAUAAAUGCUACUGCGUCCUUUCCUCAGUGAAGCUGCUGCUCUGCACUGGAAUCUCACACUCAGCUUAAGAAAGUCAAGUGAUACAGAUUUGAGCCAUCAAUCAUACUGUGGAAGCUAACUCAACUACCCAGAACUUGAUUUAUGGGAAAGAAAGGGUUUCCAAGACAACUUGAAACCAUGGUUGAUGUAAUGGUUAUUAUGCCCCUGAAAUACCAAUAUAGCCUUUCAUCUUUUUCUGAAAGUAUUAUUCUCAUAAGGAAAUUAUAACACCUAAAGGCUUCAGUGUCAUUCCUAUUGUUUCAUUUGUCUCUGUAUAAUAAUUAUACUAGUGGGUGCCAUUUUUUAAUUCCUAGCUUAAGUCACAGAGACUUGACUCUAGGGCACUCCUCCACUUCUGUUCAAACUGUACAGCCCUCAGAAUGUUGCUCAUAUUUAAG